GGGGGGGGGGGGCGGGGGGGUGGGGACGGGCAAGGCGAACGGGAAGGCCCUGCGUGUGUGGGGUGCUCGAGUGGCGAACGGGUGAGUAACACGUGAGUAACCUGCCCUUGACUUUGGGGUAACUUCAGGAAACUGGGGCUAAUACCGGCUAGAAUCUCCUGCUGCAUUGUGGGGGUGGGAAAGUUUCGGCGGUUGGGGAUGGACUCGCGGCUUAUCAGCUUGUUGGUGGGGGAGUGGCUUACCAAGGCUUUGACGGGUAGCCGGCCUGAGAGGGUGACCGGACACAUUGGUACUGAGAUACGGCCCAGGCUCCUACGGGAGGCAGCAGUGGGGAAGAUGGCACAAUGGGCGGAAGCCUGAUGCAGCAACGCCGCGUGCGGGAUGACGGCAUUCGGGUUGUAAACCGCUUUCGCCUGUGACGAAGCGUGAGUGACGGUAAUGGGUAAAGAAGCACCGGCUAACUACGUG
rnacentral:rRNA from 1 species